rnacentral:tRNA from 1 species
CUUUAGUGCAGUAAACAGCACAUCAGUCUCGAAAACUGAAGAUCCUGGGUUUGAUCCUUGGAAG